rnacentral:rRNA from 1 species
GACGAACGCUGGCGGCGUGCUUAACACAUGCAAGUCGAACGGAAAGGCCCUGCUUGCAGGGUGCUCGAGUGGCGAACGGGUGAGUAACACGUGGGUGAUCUGCCCCUUACUUUGGGAUAAGCCUGGGAAACUGGGUCUAAUACUGGAUAGGACCAUGCUGUAGGCGGUGUGGUGGAAAGAUUAGUUUCGGUAAGGGAUGAGCUCGCGGCCUAUCAGCUUGUUGGUGGGGUAUUGGCCUACCAAGGCGUCGACGGGUAGCCGGCCUGAGAGGGUGGACGGCCACAUUGUGACUGAGAUACGGCCCAGACUCCUACGGGAGGCAGCAGUGGGGAAUAUUGCACAAUGAGCGCAAGCCUGAUGCAGCGACGCCGCGUGGUGGAUGACGGCCUUCGGGUUGUAAACUCCUUUCAGCCAUGACGAAGCCCUUGUGGUGACGGUAGUGGUAGAAGAAGCACCGGCUAACUACGUG